UACGUAGGGGGCAAGCGUUGUCCGGAAUCAUUGGGCGUAAAGCGCGUGUAGGCGGCUGAGUAAGUCUGCUCUGAAAACCCGGGGCUCAACCCCGGGACUGCCUUGGAUACGGGAAGACUUGAGGAUCGGAGAGGCAAGGGGAAUUCCACGUGUAGCGGUGAAAUGCGUAGAGAUGUGGAGGAACACCUGUGGCGAAGGCGCCUUGCUGGCCGAUUUCUGACGCUGAGGCGCGAAAGCGUGGGGAGCAAACAGG
rnacentral:rRNA from 1 species